rnacentral:rRNA from 1 species
ACCUACGGGGCGCAGCAGUGGGGAAUAUUGCACAAUGGGGGAAACCCUGAUCCAGCGACGCCGCGUGAGUGAAGAAGUAUUUCGGUAUGUAAAGCUCUAUCAGCAGGGAAGAAAAUGACGGUACCUGACUAAGAAGCCCCGGCUAACUACGUGCCAGCAGCCGCGGUAAUACGUAGGGGGCAAGCGUUAUCCGGAUUUACUGGGUGUAAAGGGAGCGUAGACGGCAUUGCAAGUCUGAUGUGAAAUAUUGGGGCUCAACCCCAGGCCUGCAUUGGAAACUGUAAAGCUGGAG